AUGUCUCCUGGCUCCAGCCGUAAGCUGUGUCCUAGUUGUAACACAUCAAUAGGAGUAGUAUCAAAGAAGUGCAAGUUCUGUGGUGCAACAAUCCAGCUAAAGGUCAAGUUAGAGGGCCAAAAAAGGAAGGCUACAGAUGAAUGGACAAAUAAGACAAUGAAACAUGGAAGAUAUGCUACCUUGAUUAAUGCAGAAAACAAGCUGGUACAUGGGUUACACAAGGUAGGAGUGUACCCCCUGCUACUCCUCAGCAAGGGGAAGAAGGAUAACAUUUUGUUGUCGACUGCACUGUGUCCUCACAGUGGUAUGAGGAAUCAGACCUCGAUGGCAGCAAUCCAAAGGUUGUAUGAGGCAAUUGUGAAAGUGGCAAUCAACACCCAUACCUCCACACUACAUCCCUCCAACCCUCCUCCUGUGGCUGCCCAAGAACUGUCUGAUACAGUUGCCCCCCAGGAGACCAGCUACACCCUCCUCAUCACCCAGGUUGAACCCCCGAUAUCCCCCACCGCCCAGGAGAUCAGCUACACCCCCAUCCUUAACCAAGUUGAACCCCCAAUAACCCCCACCGCUCAGGAGACCAGCUUCACCCAAACCAAACCAAAGAAGAUGGGGAGAAAGUCCUGUCACCCUGCCACCCUCAAAAAACCCUCCAACUCGCUGAGCAUGACAGUCUGUUGCAUCAAUUAUUUAAUAGAAUCUGACAAUGUUUCUGACAUUCAAAUAAAAGUAACAUUGCGCAAGAAUAAUUUAUGAAUAGUUAAAAAAUGUAAUCAGAAAAUUCAGAAACAUAGUCUAUUACGUAACGGGCAUUGCGACGCACAUAACCAAAACAAACUCUGGCCGAACGACCAAACCGAAGACGUGGCCAAACGCUGUGAAAACACAGAUAUACGUGCGUGUUCACAAUUCUCCCACUAUGUCAGACCUGCCUGCAUAAGUGCCUUAUUUUAAUAAUAAUAUGGUGUUGCUAAUAGUAGCGUUAAGAGUAUGUCACUUGCAACUGGCCUGUUCAUGAUGGGACAACCCCCAUUUCAAUGGGAACAUUUCCAAGUUUGCAGCUUAACACACAAGGGCUAUGCAUUAAUCUUCCCAAAAGAUGUCAUUGGUCAUAAUUGGGUCA
rnacentral:lncRNA from 1 species